UACGUAGGUGGCAAGCGUUUGUCCGGAAUUAUUGGGCGUAAAGCGCGCGCAGGCGGUCCUUUAAGUCUGAUGUGAAAGCCCACGGCUCAACCGCGGAGGGUCAUUGGAAACUGGGGGACUUGAGUACAGAAGAGGAAAGCGGAAUUCCACGUGUAGCGGUGAAAUGCGUAGAGAUGUGGAGGAACACCGGUGGCGAAGGCGGCAUCCUGGACCGGUAUUGACGCUGAGGCGCGAAAGCCAGGGGAGC
rnacentral:rRNA from 1 species